rnacentral:lncRNA from 1 species
CAAGUGUGAAUGGUGGAAAGAAGUUUUCACAAGAUUCAUAAGUAAACUCGAGUCGAGUCAAUCUGGUAUAUGACUGAUGAUGAAGUUUGAUGAGAUCAUCACGACCUCUGUCAAAUCGAGACUCAUGAUAGAAAGAUUAAAUUAUAUGGUAACUACACCUAGAAGUUUAUAUUUUUAUUCUACUGAGUUGCCACUAUAUACUGCUAGACGUCACUGAUGGAUUAUGGGACUCAUUGGGCAUCGUCUUGAUGAUUGAUAACCCUCGAAAGGCAGAGU